GACGAACGCUGGCGGCGUGCUUAAUACAUGCAAGUCGAACGGUGAACCUCUUCGGUGGGGAUAAGUGGCGAACGGGUGAGUGACACGUUGGCACCUUGCCCCCGUCUCUGGGAUAACUCCACGACAUUGGGGAUCAUACCCUAAGUUCACAGCAUCCCGUUAGGGUUGUGGUGGAAAGGUUUUACGGCUGGGGAUGUUCCCGCGGCCUAACAGCUUGUUGGUGGGGUAAUGUCGUAACAAGGCGACGACGGGUAGCCGGACUGAGAGGGUGACCCGCCACACUGGGACUGGGACACGGCCCGUACGGCAACGUGAGGCAGCGGUGGGGAAUAGAGCGCAAUGGGCCGAGGCCUGACGCAGCGACGCCGCGUGGGGGAUGACGGCCUUCGGGUUGUAAACCUCGUUCAGCAGGGACGAAGCGCAAGUGACGGUACCUACAGAAGAAGCACCGGCCAACUACGUG
rnacentral:rRNA from 1 species